rnacentral:lncRNA from 1 species
AAUUUAUCUAGAUUAAUUGAUUUAAAGUAUUAGUUAAUACAAAUAAACAAUACUCUAUAAACUACAAAAAGUGAAUACAAGAAUUGAAAUUGGGCCCUUACUUGACCCAUUUUCAAAUCUGGACACCAUUGGUUUGGGGCCUAUUUAAAUGGUCCUUUUUUCAAAUUUCUUUCAGCUGUGUAUAUCAUCUGUAUAUCACAGCACCUUUUCUUCACGUUUUUCCGUAUAUUUACUAUAUAGUGAUAUGUAAAUGGUUGUAUAUUUGCUUCCAAAUUCACUAUGCAUCAUAUGUUGGCGUAUACAAACCACCUUCCACCUGAAAAACCCAUAUAUAUUGUGUAUAUGAGUGUAUAUCAGCCCUUUUGGACUUGAUUUUGAAGCAUAGACUUGAAAAUCCGGGCCUCCUUGGCCCUUUGAGGAGAUGUGGAGUUUUAGAGUCCCGUGGACUCAUAAGGAGAGUUCAUGCAAAGGAGAUGAUAAUGUAAGUUAGUAAAUUUAUCAAUACAUAAAGAAAGACAAAUUUAUUAAACAUGCAAAACAUUUAAUGGGAAUUCGUGAUAGGAAUAUAAACUCCACAAAUGAAAGAUCGUUUAACAUAUUAAAGAAAAUGAAAUGCAAGGUACGGGGAGUCCAGAUGGACUUGUUUCAGGCAGCUCAUGUGUAAAGAGAAAGCAAAAGAAAGUUAGCAAUAUGUCAAGAUUGUUGAUAAUCAGACAUAAAUUCAACACUGAGACAGUUUUAUCCUUAGCCAAACAUUAUUGAAAUAAUUACAAUCAAUUACCCAAAAAGAGAUUCGAUGAAGUAGCAAAAUUCAAAAGAGAUUAUUUCGUCAAAACGAAACUAACAAAUUUAUUAAUUUUAGUUAAAUUAAUUCCGAAAGGAGAUCCAAAAUGGCUAGUUACUUCAAAUACUUAAACAGUGUUCCAAUGAAAUUCUUCAAACUAAACAGUAGCAAAAAUUCCUUUAUCCAAAUCCUCAUCUCAAAGUAUGACGUACUUUCUACAACUAACUAUUUAAGCAAAAAAAUACAUCACUUUUUUUUAAACAAAUAGGCAUAUACUUUAACUAAGGAUUGACAAAGUAGCAAAGAAGUAAGCAACACACCCAUUUUUUAGAAAUAACGACAAGUAGACAUAUCACAUAUUUUAUAUAAUGACAAGAAGAUCUGGUCCAACUCAAAGUUUAAAUAGUUCAAAGAUAUAUUCGAAUCGACAAACACAUUUAAGUGAAAGUUAACAAUCAAUUUCAAAUUUCACAAAGAAGGGAUUAAAUCAAUAUCUUGAACUUGCACGAACCUGAAUGACUUUUAAAACAUAGCAAUGAACCCUUAGUCCGAACUUAUUCGUACCAUAUUGACAAAAUUUGUUAGCUUUACUUGAGAAAUUAUGCAACACAUAACAAGAGGGUUCAUACAGGACAAACGCAUGCCAAGAAACUUAUUAAUCGCAAAACAGAACAAAAUGUUUGAAGAGGCGAAUCUCUCGUGACUUUUUCAAACUAACGGCUUUAUCUAAACAGCUAAUAGGAACCAAAUAUAUGACAUAGUGAAAACAAAAGACUUGGUUUUGAAACACUAACCCCAACCAUACCUUUUAAUUUCUCAAAAAUCUUCAGGAGGAGCUUCCUGAACUAAAACUAAAGAAAAGUCCCAAAAUUCAAACUUUAUUCUUCGGAAGGACUAAUUCAAAGAGUUUGUUUAACAUAUCCUUAAGGCCUCAACUUUCAACACAUGGAUAUUUUAAUUAGAGGUAAAAAUGGUGAGUCAAACUAAAACAAAACAAUCAUUCAAGCUAAAUAAAACUACAGAUUAACGCUGAAAGAAAACAUCAUAACGCCGAAACAAUGAGUCGUGAAAUCAACUCAAGAAAUCAAACACAAAAUCUAUGGCUUUCGAAAAACAUUCUACAACAUAUAAUCUCACAAUUACGCUACUUGCACGAAGAAAAAAGAAGAGAUAAUGAGGGAAUUUAAAAAAGAAAAAAUGUGUUUACCUUUUUCGGGGCAAGAAACGGGACGACGAACCUUGACGACAAACUUCCACCACCGGCAAAACACAAUUCCAAUCUAUCAAAAUAAUAGUGACUUUGCUGGAUUUUAGUUUUCCGUCGGGAUUUCGGUUGUGUGAAGUUAGAGGCAUGCACCUCCAGAACUCCCAAAUUUUUAUCCAAAAUCCUCCUCCCCUUCAUUCUACAUUCGUGGGUAUUUAUAGGAUAUAUGAGACUGAUUUUUGGGGGAAACGAAGGGGUUAAGAGGAAAAACGAAUUAGGAUUUGAAUUUCAAAAUUUGAGAUAAGGUUUGACUGGAAUUUGUACGAAUUGAAACGUUGUUGCUGAGCUAGUUCUUUCCGUUGUUGUACUGUUGUUGCAUUGAAUUGUGGUUGUUAUUGUUGCGUUGGUUGCUGUUGCAGAUACGGGUUGUUGGGUUCGCUGGGUUAGAGCGGAUUUCGUCGUUUGUUGAAGUGGUUGUUAACGUUGGGAUGUUGAGAUUGCGUUAUACGAGUUGUGUGUCGAUGUUGUUGGCUGUUGUUGUUUGUUUGUACGGUCGGGUUAAGUGUUGUUGUUUGUGUUGAAAUUAAUCAAGGGGAAAAGAGUAGUG